rnacentral:rRNA from 1 species
UGGAAACUGUNUGACUUGAGUGCAGAAGGGGAGAGUGGAAUUCCAUGUGUAGCGGUGAAAUGCGUAGAUAUAUGGAGGAACACCAGUGGCGAAAGCGGCUCUCUGGUCUGUCACUGACGCUGAGGCUNGAAAGCGUGGGUAGCGAACAGGAUUAGAUACCCUGGUAGUNCACGCCGUAAACGAUGAGUGCUAGGUGUUAGGCCCUUUCCGGGGCUUAGUGCCGGAGCUAACGCAAUAAGCACUCCGCCUGGGGAGUACGACCGCAAGGUUGAAACUCAAAGGAAUUGACGGGGGCCCGCACAAGCGGUGGAGCAUGUGGUUUAAUUCGAAGCAACGCGAAGAGCCUUACCAGGUCUUGACAUCCCGAUGCUAUUCUUAGAGAUAGGAAGUUACUUCGGUACAUCGGAGACAGGUGGUGCAUGGUUGUCGUCAGCUCGUGUCGUGAGAUGUUGGGUUAAGUCCCGCAACGAGCGCAACCCUUAUUGUUAGUUGCCAUCAUUAAGUUGGGCACUCUAGCGAGACUGCCGGUAAUAAACCGGAGGAAGGUGGGGAUGACGUCAAAUCAUCAUGCCCCUUAUGACCUGGGCUACACACGUGCUACAAUGGUCGGUACAACGAGUUGCGAGCCGGUGACGGCAAGCUAAUCUCUGAAAGCCGAUCUCAGUUCGGAUUGGAGGCUGCAACUCGCCUCCAUGAAGUCGGAAUCGCUAGUAAUCGCGGAUCAGCACGCCGCGGUGAAUACGUUCCCGGGCCUUGUACACACCGCCCGUCACACCACGAGAGUUUGUAACACCCGAAGUCGGUGAGGUAACCUUUUAGGGGCCAGCCGCCUAAGGUGGGANGGAUGAU